UGGACUCGAGGCCCAGUGGGGAGGGGCAGCCACCACGCUGUGACUGCAAUGCAUCCACACAUGCUGAGGCCACCAAGAAGAAAUAGGGGAGGAGGCUGGCCCUCGUCCAAGAUGGCAUCUUGGAGCUGCUGGACCUUCAGGAGCGGCCACUACCAGAUGCCCCUUUAGGACCAAGGAAUUUUGAAGGUACUUCCAGCUCUAAACCUUUAGGAUUCUAGGCCCCUCCCUACCUCCCUUCCCAGGCAAAGCCAUCACUCCCCAGGGGGAAAGAGAAUGACUCAGACAGAAC
rnacentral:lncRNA from 1 species